rnacentral:rRNA from 1 species
CGCGGCCUAUCAGCUUGUUGGCGGGGUAACGGCCCACCAAGGCAUCGACGGGUAGCUGGUCUGAGAGGACGAUCAGCCACACUGGGACUGAGACACGGCCCAGACUCCUACGGGAGGCAGCAGUGGGGAAUCUUGCGCAAUGGGCGAAAGCCUGACGCAGCAACGCCGCGUGGGGGAUGAAGGCUCUCGGGUUGUAAACCCCUUUCAGCAGGGACGAAUCAAGACGGUACCUGCAGAAGAAGCCCCGGCUAACUACGUGCCAGCAGCCGCGGUAACACGUAGGGGGCAAGCGUUGUCCGGAUUUAUUGGGCGUAAAGAGCUCGUAGGUGGCUGAGUAAGUCGGAUGUCAAAUCCCCAGGCUCAACCUGGGAUCCCAUCCGAUACUGCUCUGGCUAGAGUCCGGUAGGGGAGCGUGGAAUUCCUGGUGUAGCGGUGAAAUGCGCAGAUAUCAGGAGGAACACCAGCGGCGAAGGCGGCGCUCUGGGCCGGUACUGACACUGAGGAGCGAAAGCGUGGGUAGCAAACAGGAUUAGAUACCCUGGUAGUCCACGCCGUAAACGUUGGGCACUAGGUGUGGGACCUAUUCAACGGGUUCCGUGCCGUAGCUAACGCAUUAAGUGCCCCGCCUGGGGAGUACGG